rnacentral:rRNA from 1 species
GACGAACGCUGGCGGCGUGCUUAACACAUGCCAGUCGAACGGAAAGGCCCUGCUUUUGUGGGGUGCUCGAGUGGAGAACGGGUGAGUUACACGUGAGUAACCUGCCAUUGACCUUGGGGUAACUUCAGGAAACAGGAGCUACUACCGGAAAGGAGCUCCUGCUGCUUGGUGGGGGUUGGAAAGUUUAGGCGGUUGGGGAUGGACUCGCGGCUUAUCAGCUUGUUGGUGGGGUAGUGGCUUACCAAGGCUUUGACGGGUAGCCGGCCUGAGAGGCUGACCGGCCACAUUGGGACUGAGAUACGGCCCAGACUCCUACGGGAGGCAGCAGUGGGGAAUAUUGCACAAUGGGCGGAAGCCGGAUGCAGCAACGCCGCGUGCGGGAUGACGGCCUUCGGGUUGUAAACCGCUUUCGCCUUUAACGAAGCGUGAGUGACGGUAAUGGGUAAAGAAGCACCGGCUAACUACGUG